UACGUAGGGUGCGAGCGUUGUCCGGAAUUAUUGGGCGUAAAGAGCUCGUAGGCGGUCUGUCGCGUCGGAUGUGAAAACUCGGGGGCUCAACCCCGAGCCUGCAUUCGAUACGGGCAGACUAGAGUUCGGUAGGGGAGACUGGAAUUCCUGGUGUAGCGGUGAAAUGCGCAGAUAUCAGGAGGAACACCGGUGGCGAAGGCGGGUCUCUGGGCCGAUACUGACGCUGAGGAGCGAAAGCGUGGGGGAGCGAACAGG
rnacentral:rRNA from 1 species